UUGGCUAAUGAUUUUUAGCUUCAAGGCAAGAUAACAGGCUGCCCUUCGUAAGUUUGUUUCAGAUGUUGUGUGUGUAUUUGUCAUAAUGUACAGUAAUAAGUUAUGGACAGACAUACAGUAGUUUCUUCCUGUGCUGCGUUGUGCACGUCUGUUUCAUCAUCUGAGCUAUCAGUUGUGUUUCUUUGAAGCAAAGAUGUAUAGAAUAGCACUGAAAGUCGGAGGUGUCAUAUUUGUUCAACCUGGUGUUAAACGUAAUUUCAAUUCUUGACCAGUGCAUGUAAAGAAAUUGUAAAUAAAACCGACUUGAUGUAGUAGUGCUAAAAAUAAACCUUUAUAUUUUCUCUUAGUGAACUUCUCAAAAUAUAUGGGCUACAAUGUAGAUACUACUUGGGAUGGGUUUAUCGUUACCUAUUGUUUCUGAUGGGGCGUUAAUUGGUGUGGCACCCGGAACUCUUCCUCACUUCGGGGAGAUUGGCAAGGGGAAUGCCGUUCGCUUCGACCCCUUGCAGUGUGCCUCAUUGUGUCCGCCCUGUCAGGUAUGUGUUAAUGUAUGAAAGAGAUCCCUGUGGUAUUUUCGGUGAUAAACAUUGUAUUUUCUUUUGGUUUUAACUUUGUAAACUAUACGAUCUAAGUGCCUUGGUUCCAAGACUAUUUACUCUCAAAAUCUCUGUUUUCAUCACACUUCUGAUGUUGCCGAUUUGAAUGUCUACGAAGACUGUGUUAUGAAGAAAUAUAUAUUUCCAUUUUUGUCAUGUACACUUGUUCUAUUGUAGCCUAUCUGUCUAGGUCAACGGAGCGAUUUUCCUCCAGUGGAAGAGGCUGUAGCGUAGGCAGUGGUAUAGUCUACGUUUUGAUGGUGGGUAUACUGUAUUUUUGAGCAAUUCUUUUAGGUGGUUAUGGGUAAUAUUGAAUCAAUCAAUUUUAGGCGGGUAUACUGAAAUCCCUGACAUUUUCAGAUAGGCUAUUCUACUGCUCUAGUCCUGGUCUCAUAGACAGGCCUGGCCUCUCGCCUUUAUCCCUGCCCUCCAUCUCUUAGGGAGCUGGAUGUGUCAGAGUCUCAGCAGGAUUAAGUUUAAGACCAGUUUAGACCGAUCAGCUUCAGAGACACGCUGUCCUCUGUUUCCUCUCUCUCCUAUUUUCACUUUCUCGGUCCCCACUCUCUAUCUCUCUUUUUUUUUUUUCUUUCUCCUUCUCUGUAAGUCCUGCCUCCUAAUGUGCCAUAUAACCUGUAUCUCGCCUAUUGUGUGUGUGUGUGUGUUUGUGAAUGUGUUCACGCAGAUAUAAGAAGUUGGGGUUGGGGUUGGGGUUGAUGAUCCACAUGAUGGUGAUGGACCAGGACAGCUCUGGACCUCCUGACUGGCAGCUCCAUCCUCAACCUCCCUUCCUGUCCUUCACACAUGUGCAGGCAGAGAGGCAGUUUUCUGAAGGAUGGUUAAUGUCAGUACCAACAUGUUGUGAUGGAGGCUUCCACCUGAACUGAACACAGAAACUUGCACACAGUGAUGGAAGCAGUCGUUCCUGUUCAGCAUUGAUAUGCCGGUAAUGGGUUUGAUGAACCACAGCAUGGUGAUGGGCAAUCAGCAUCAGGACCAGGGCCGCUCACAAGGAGAACCUCCUGCCUUGCCUCUUCAUCCUCAACCUCCAAUCUUCCUGCUCUUCACACAUGUGCAGGCACAGAGCCAGUUUUCAGAGGGAGGGCUGAUGACACCAGCAACUUCGGAUCUGAACCUGAUCAACCCAGCACCAACCACUGUGCCGCUCCUCCUCUGCCAACUGCACCACAUGGCUCCACCAUCUCAAAAAGGCACAGACACUACUCCACUUCCUGCGAAGGAUGAGAGAAGAGCCGACCUCCCCACAACGGCACUCACCACC